GGUUAAGCGACUAAGCGUACACGGUGGAUGCCCUGGCAGUCAGAGGCGAUGAAGGACGUGCUAAUCUGCGAAAAGCGUCGGUAAGGUGAUAUGAACCGUUACAGCCGGCGAUGUCCGAAUGGGGAAACCCAGUGCAAUUCGUUGCACUAUCGUUUGAUGAAUACAUAGUCAAACGAGGCGAACCGGGGGAACUGAAACAUCUAAGUACCCCGAGGAAAAGAAAUCAACCGAGAUUCCCCCAGUAGCGGCGAGCGAACGGGGAGCAGCCCGGAGUCUGAAUCAGCUUGUGUGUUAGUGGAAGCGUCUGGAAAGUCGCAGGGUACAGGGUGAUACUCCCGUACACUAAAACGCACAGGUUGUGAACUCGAAGAGUAGGGCGGGACACGUGGUAUCCUGUCUGAAUAUGGGGGGACCAUCCUCCAAGGCUAAAUACUCCUGACUGACCGAUAGUGAACCAGUACCGUGAGGGAAAGGCGAAAAGAACCCCGGCGAGGGGAGUGAAAAAGAACCUGAAACCGUGUACGUACAAGCAGUAGGAGCCCACUUGUUGGGUGACUGCGUACCUUUUGUAUAAUGGGUCAGCGACUUAUAUUCUGUAGCAAGGUUAACCGUAUAGGGGAGCCGCAGGGAAACCGAGUCUUAACUGGGCGUUAAGUUGCAGGGUAUAGACCCGAAACCCGGUGAUCUAGCCAUGGGCAGGUUGAAGGUUGGGUAACACUAACUGGAGGACCGAACCGACUAAUGUUGAAAAAUUAGCGGAUGACUUGUGGCUGGGGGUGAAAGGCCAAUCAAACCGGGAGAUAGCUGGUUCUCCCCGAAAGCUAUUUAGGUAGCGCCUUGUGAACUCAUCUUCGGGGGUAGAGCACUGUUUCGGCUAGGGGGUCAUCCCGACUUACCAACCCGAUGCAAACUACGAAUACCGAAGAAUGUUAUCACGGGAGACACACGGCGGGUGCUAACGUCCGUCGUGAAGAGGGAAACAACCCAGACCGCCAGCUAAGGUCCCAAAGUCAUGGUUAAGUGGGAAACGAUGUGGGAAGGCCCAGACAGCCAGGAUGUUGGCUUAGAAGCAGCCAUCAUUUAAAGAAAGCGUAAUAGCUCACUGGUCGAGUCGGCCUGCGCGGAAGAUGUAACGGGGCUAAACCAUGCACCGAAGCUGCGGCAGCGACACUAUGUGUUGUUGGGUAGGGGAGCGUUCUGUAAGCCGUUGAAGGUGGCCUGUGAGGGUUGCUGGAGGUAUCAGAAGUGCGAAUGCUGACAUAAGUAACGAUAAUGCGGGUGAAAAACCCGCACGCCGGAAGACCAAGGGUUCCUGUCCAACGUUAAUCGGGGCAGGGUGAGUCGACCCCUAAGGCGAGGCCGAAAGGCGUAGUCGAUGGGAAACAGGUUAAUAUUCCUGUACUUGGUGUUACUGCGAAGGGGGGACGGAGAAGGCUAUGUUGGCCGGGCGACGGUUGUCCCGGUUUAAGCGUGUAGGUGUGUGUUCCAGGUAAAUCCGGUUCACUUUAACACUGAGGCGUGAUGACGAGGCACUACGGUGCUGAAGUGACAAAUGCCCUGCUUCCAGGAAAAGCCUCUAAGCAUCAGGUAACAUCAAAUCGUACCCCAAACCGACACAGGUGGUCAGGUAGAGAAUACCAAGGCGCUUGAGAGAACUCGGGUGAAGGAACUAGGCAAAAUGGUGCCGUAACUUCGGGAGAAGGCACGCUGAUAUGUAGGUGAAGUGGUUUACCCAUGGAGCUGAAAUCAGUCGAAGAUACCAGCUGGCUGCAACUGUUUAUUAAAAACACAGCACUGUGCAAACACGAAAGUGGACGUAUACGGUGUGACGCCUGCCCGGUGCCGGAAGGUUAAUUGAUGGGGUUAUCCGUAAGGAGAAGCUCUUGAUCGAAGCCCCGGUAAACGGCGGCCGUAACUAUAACGGUCCUAAGGUAGCGAAAUUCCUUGUCGGGUAAGUUCCGACCUGCACGAAUGGCGUAAUGAUGGCCAGGCUGUCUCCACCCGAGACUCAGUGAAAUUGAACUCGCUGUGAAGAUGCAGUGUACCCGCGGCAAGACGGAAAGACCCCGUGAACCUUUACUAUAGCUUGACACUGAACACUGGUCCUUGAUGUGUAGGAUAGGUGGGAGGCUUUGAAGCGUGGACGCCAGUCUGCGUGGAGCCAUCCUUGAAAUACCACCCUUUAAUGGCUGGUGUUCUAACGUGGGCCCGUAAUCCGGGUUGCGGACAGUGUCUGGUGGGUAGUUUGACUGGGGCGGUCUCCUCCUAAAGAGUAACGGAGGAGCACGAAGGUCAGCUAAUCCUGGUCGGACAUCAGGAGGUUAGUGCAAUGGCAUAAGCUGGCUUGACUGCGAGCGUGACGGCGCGAGCAGGUGCGAAAGCAGGUCAUAGUGAUCCGGUGGUUCUGAAUGGAAGGGCCAUCGCUCAACGGAUAAAAGGUACUCCGGGGAUAACAGGCUGAUACCGCCCAAGAGUUCAUAUCGACGGCGGUGUUUGGCACCUCGAUGUCGGCUCAUCACAUCCUGGGGCUGAAGUAGGUCCCAAGGGUAUGGCUGUUCGCCAUUUAAAGUGGUACGCGAGCUGGGUUUAGAACGUCGUGAGACAGUUCGGUCCCUAUCUGCCGUGGGCGCUGGAGAAUUGAGGGGGGCUGCUCCUAGUACGAGAGGACCGGAGUGGACGCAUCACUGGUGUUCGGGUUGUCAUGCCAAUGGCAUUGCCCGGUAGCUAAAUGCGGAAGAGAUAAGUGCUGAAAGCAUCUAAGUACGAAACUUGCCCCGAGAUGAGUUCUCCCUGACCCUUUAAGGGUCCUGAAGGAACGUUGAAGACGACGACGUUGAUAGGCCGGGUGUGUAAGCGCAGCGAUGCGUUGAGCUAACCGGUACUAAUGAACCGUGAGGCUUAACCUU
rnacentral:rRNA from 1 species